rnacentral:tRNA from 1 species
GCGGGUGUGGUCCAAUGGUAGAACAUCAGCUUCCCAUGCUGAGAGCGAGGGUUCGAUUCCCUUCACCCGCUCCA